rnacentral:rRNA from 1 species
UGGUCAAGUUAUUAAGGGUGCAGGGCGGAUGCCUUGGCACUAGGAGCCGAUGAAGGACGUGAUAAGCUGCGAUAAGCUUCGGGGAGUUGCACGUAAACUUUGAUCCGAAGAUUUCCGAAUGAGGAAACUCACUUAGAGUAAUGUCUAAGUAUCAUUAAGUGAAUACAUAGCUUAAUGAGGGGAACUCAGGGAACUGAAACAUCUAAGUACCUGAAGGAAGAGAAAGAAAUUCGAUUCCGUAAGUAGCGGCGAGCGAACGCGGAAGAGCCCAAACCAAUAAAGUUUUCUUUAUUGGGGUUGCGGACAUAUCAUAACGAAGAGGUAUCGUAAUUGAAGAGGUUUGGAAAGACCCACCA